UACGUAGGGUGCAAGCGUUGUCCGGAAUUAUUGGGCGUAAAGAGCUCGUAGGCGGUUUGUCGCGUCUGCUGUGAAAACCCGAGGCUCAACCUCGGGCCUGCAGUGGGUACGGGCAGACUAGAGUGGCGGUAGGGGAGAUUGGAAUUCCUGGUGUAGCGGUGAAAUGCGCAGAUAUCAGGAGGAACACCGGUGGCGAAGGCGGGUCUCUGGGCCGAUAUUGACGCUGAGGAGCGAAAGCGUGGGGAGCGAAUGGG
rnacentral:rRNA from 1 species